CGACGUGGAUAAGGCAUGCAAGUUGAACGACCCCCCACUUUGUUUAUUUUAAUAUUAAAGUAAAUAAAGUGGGGGGGAGUGGCAAACGGGUGAGUAACGCAUUGGCAAUCUGCCCCCAAGACAGGAAUAACUCCGAGAAAUCGGAGCUAAUACCUGAUGGUCUCUUUGUUCAUAAGAACAAAGGGUAAAGCUUUUACGCUUGGGGAGGAGCCUAUGUCUGAUUAGUUUGUUGGUGGGGUAAUGGCCCACCAAGGCUUUGAUCAGUAGCGGGUGUGAGAGCACGACCCGCCACACGGGGACUGAGACACUGCCCUGACUUCUACGGAAGGCUGCAGUCGAGAAUCUUCCACAAUGGCCGAAAGGCUGAUGGAGCGACGUCGCGUGAUUGAAGAAGCCCUUCGGGGUGUAAAAAUCUUUUCUGGUGGACGAACGUUGACGGUACAUCAGGAAUAAGGGGCUGCUAAUCUCGUGCCAGCAGCAGCGGUAAUACGAGAGCCCCAAACGUUAUCCGGAUUUAUUGGGCGUAAAGCGUCCGCAGGUGGUUAUUUAUGUCUUGCUUCAAAUCCUGGUGCUUAACAUCAGGACUGGGCAAGAAACUAAACAACUAGAGGUUGGGAGAGGUGAGCGGAAUGGCCGGUGUAAGAGUUAAAUCUGUUAAUAUCGGCUGGAACACCAAAAGCGAAGGCAGCUCACUAGAACAAACCUGACACUCAUGGACGAAAGCGUGGGUAGCGAACGGGAUUAGAUACCCCGGUAGUCCACGCUGUAAACGAUGGAUGCUAGACAUUGGCAGUAUCGACCCUGUCAGUGUCGCUUCUAAAAAAGCUAACGCGUUAAGCAUCCCGCCUGAGGAGUACGAGCGCAAGCUUAAAACUCAAAGGAAUAGACGGGGACCCGCACAAGCGGUGUAGCAUGUGGUUUAAUUCGUCUCUAAGCGAGGAACCUCACCAAGAUUUGACAUCUGGCCGUAUGUUUUUUUGGAAACAGAAAAUCCUUCAGGCCAAGACAGGUGCUGCAUGGUUGUCGUCAGCAUGUGCUGUGAAGUGCACCCUUAACUGGGGUAACAUGCGCAACCCUCGCGAUGUGUUAAAUGUACACAUUGGACUGCCAAGGUUAACUUGGAGGAAGGUGGGGAUGACGUCAAAUCAGCAUGGCCCUUAUAUCUUGGGCGACACGCAUGCUACAAUGGGAAGUACAAUGGGUUGCCAAACCGCAAGGUGGAGCCAAUCCCAUCAAAACUUCUCUCAGUUCGGAUUGGAGUCUGCAACUCGACUCCAUGAAGUCGGAAUCGCUAGUAAACGCAUAUCAGCCACGGUGCGUUGAAUACGUUCUCGGGUCUUGUACUCACUGCCCGUCACAUCAAGGGAGUCGGCAAUACCCAAAACCCUUCGUUCGAAGGUCUACGGUAGGGCUGGCAACAGGGAUGAAGUCGUAACAAGGUA
rnacentral:rRNA from 1 species